rnacentral:lncRNA from 1 species
AAAAUGAGUGAAUCUACACUCUAAAACAUGUCUAUAUACAUCCGUAUGUUAUAGUCCAUUUGAAACCUCUAAAAAGAUUUAUAUUUAGGAACGAAAGGAGUAUACGGCUAAAUCGCCGAUUACAACAUGGGCUACAACCUCAAUGUAGUCUGAGAACCAUUAAACAUGAUCACCAUUGUCUAAUCCUGCACCCAAAGCUGCCAGCACAUUAGAUGGUUGGUUACAUCCCCUUGGAGCAUGAAUCACUCUAGCCUCAAUCAAUGAAUAAAGUACGCUUAUAGUAGUGGGUACUUGAUAUCACAUAAGAAAAUACCCAGCAGUAAAGCUCACAGCUUGCUUGAGUAUCGAGUCUGUUUCAAAAAUUUCUCGGCCCACACUCAAAUAGUGAGCAACUUAUCCUUCUCCGCGACCUCAGAAUUUUUCUCAUGACGUCAUGUGCUAAAUUACACUCUGAUCCGGAUUUCCUCCAGCAGCAAGGCAUACCAUUGCUCCUUCACUUCUUUGCAGUUUAGAAAGAGAUGGGCCCCAUCUUCGAACAAUCUGCAACAGACAACACAUCAAACGAUUUCCCAACAUAAUUUCAAAUUAGAACAUAGCGAAUUAUUCGAGCUACAAAAAUAGUGCAUAUGAUUCCCUAGCAAAUUCGUUCACUACUCUAUAUUACAAAAUGAAGAAUUCCUAGAUGACAAAUGGUUUAACAGAAAAAGAUAAGCACUUGAACAACAUGCACUCAUUACGUAGUUGUCAAGCAUCAAUACACUAUCAAACGGGUAGUGUCGGGGAUAUACCCCGCGGUAUGACCAGGCCAAAUAUAUAACCCGGCCGGACUUGGCGACUCACUAAUGACCCGCCCUGAUUGGACGACUCACUAAGUGACCCGCCCGAGCCUGGCGACUUAUGGGUGACCUGGCAAGCGGAUCAAAGGAGCGACAAGAUCCGGGGGCCCAAGAGGCUCAAGGCCCAGAAGGCCGGCUACGUUAUGGUAGGCCGGCUUAAGAGGAAAGGCGUGAGGAAUAUCUCCUUUACGAGGAAGCAAGACCCGGACUUGUAAUCAACUUGUAAGAGAAGAUAGACUAAUCCUAGUCCUACUAGGACUCCACAUGUAACCCGCCCCUCUAACUUAUAUAAGGAGGGGCAGGGCUCCCCAAAGAGGGACAGGGAAGAAGAAACAAUCUCUAGGGCUAAACACAAAGAGCCGGCUUACCGGCGACUCUCUCAUGAGCAUAAUGAGACCUAGCCACAAACAGCAUGUAGGGCUAUUACCAGAUGAUGUUUCCCGGGGCCCGAAGCUGUCUAAAUCCUCGUCUUGUGUGUUGCGUCUCUUGAUUCCGCUCAACCCCUUCAAGCUACCAUAUAGAUGCGUUGGCCUCGCGACUAAGUCCUUACACUAGGACAUCUACCGUGACAAUUCCACGACAGUUGGCACCCACCGUGGGGCCAGACGCACGGUGGUGUUGAGUUCUUGGAGGGAUCUUUUCUAGGGUUUAAGAAGUUCGCAAUUUUUCGGUUCAACUAAAGCCGGCGUGGAAGAUUCACAUCAACGUCAAGUUCGUUAGAUCCAAAGUGGGGGAGUUUCCGUUUGGUUCAGCAAGGAUUCAUCGGAUCUGAUGGGUGCAAAUCGCAGAUACGUACAAGGGCAAAUUUCCGCUCAAGUUAUCGGAUCAGACAAGGGAUCGGGCACUAUUUGGAAAUUGAUUAGCCUUAUAUCUGAUGAAUCAAACAAGGUAGAAGACAAAAAGACCAAAAUCAAUUACGUUCCCGAUCCAAAAAAGGAAACAAACCACGACCCGGAAGUUUGGGCGUGAAAAUAGUUUUGACUGUUUUCCAUCGGGCCGGUGGCCCCUGAGCCGCCGCGGCUCUCCACAUCCAAGUCAGGGUCCGCCUCCACUUGCGAGCCAGCCUACCGCGUCAAAUCACCGGGUCGUCUCUCUUGGUUCCCUCUGGGCUGCCCCCGUGAUGAGCCGACCUAUUGACCAGCGAGGCUCGCGUCAUUUUUCUGCUGCGGCCCCGCGCGUCCACCGGACCAGUCUCAGGAGGCUGGUUGACUGACAGGAUAUUUUCUGGGGUUAAAGUGGAACUCAGCCAUAUUGCAAAAUUAUAUAUGAACACUACUUAUGAGCAAUCCGUCAUCCGAACAAAUCAGGAUGCUCGACGGAUAUACGUGCAAGUCGCCGCCCCGAUGUUCGGAUUACAUCCGUCCGCACCUGUUGCCGAUUCAUGCAUCACGAUUGUCAUGCAUCUACAAACGCCAUGGACGACUCGUCCAUCUGCCCUCACGGCAGCUCACGCGUCCGCACCGGUUCACGCGUCCGCACUGGCUUACAAUGCCACGGCCGACUCAUCUGUUGUUCGGGCGAAUCAGGUGAUAUCCCUCUAAGUAUAAUUUUAGCACAUAUUGUUUUUGUCAGAGAGCAAUUACUUUGGUCUUUGCAUUUUAUAUGCAGGACAAUUGGUCAUUGCAAAGUCGAUGGCCGGAUCAUCGAUAUAUAAAUUGCGUAAUUACUGUCAUGUGCUAGCAUAUGACCGUGCCACAAGGAUCAAAGAAUAUGUGUGCAAGACGCCGCCCUUGUGGCCCAGACUACUUCGACUCACCGGGACCGCACCCGCGAUUAACUCGCCCGUCCGUGCCGGUUUACAACACCGGUGAAGAUUUUCCCCGUCCGCACCGGCUUACAACGCCGCGGCCGACUCAUCUGUCGGGGCCGCCACUGAUGCUGCGGUCGUCUCUGUCGUCCGUCUCUCGUGGCCUGGUCUACAUCAACACACUGGGCCGCACCUGUCAGCAUGAGCUGUUUAUUGAGUAUGAGCAAGUCACCGCUUAGGAAGCCGGUUUUCUCUUCCAACAAAUUGGAGGCAAAUUAUCAUAUAUUAUCAACCGCCGUCUGCACUGGAUGGCUCAAUGGGCAGGCGCACAAAUUGCCGCCACUACAGUUUGAUUAAGCUUCAAACAACCAGUUGGAGGGAACCAUUGGCUGAGUUGCUGACACGGCUCAUACAGGAUCAUUUAUAACCCAUCGCAGUCACCUCAACCUUCUGUGGAUUCACAUCGCGUUAUCAACGCCAAUGUUAUACACCUUUUGCUAUGGUCAAAUAUGGAGAAUCUCAAGCCAACUCUUUGAGUCAUCUUGAGACUCGGGGGCUACAAUGGUAUGGCUCGGCAAAAUUAGCCGGUUUCAAUGAAUUCAAGAACUCCGGGUCAUUGAAGGGAAGAUAACCCAACCCCAGAGGCUACUCUUUAUUGGCGAAUAUUUAAAGGCCGUCAGAAAAAUUUCCGGCUCAAAAUGAAGAUUCUAGUUUAAAAUAUAGCUUAAGAGACAUCUCUCUCCCGCAAAGCUUUGAAGCUAUCAAAUCCGGUUCAAAAUCCGGCUCAAGGUAAAUUUGUCUUUCACAAAGUUUUGAAGUUUUUAAAUCCGGUUUAAAGUUCCGGAUUCGAAAAGAUUUAAAUCUCUCGCAAGUUCGAGUUCUCAGAAAAAAUAAAGGUUGCCAAAAGAACUUGCUGCCAUGAUGCGCGGUUCAAACUUGGAUAUCCUGCCUUACGGCUUAUCUUAUUAUGAUCACUUGGGGGCUUCCUGCUCAUCGAGCAUAGCUAUCAAUACCCUCUUGAUCGGCGCAAUGCCAAAAUUUAUAUGGUCACUUGGGGGCUUCCUGUUCAAACAUAGGUCAUAUUCGAACCAAAGAAAACAUAGCUGUCGAUACCCUUUUGAUUGGCAAACUGCCGAACCUACUUGGGGGCUUCUUGAUCGUAUCCGAAUCAUAGCUCAACCCCUUUGGGAAUCGACGUGGAUCGUAUUCGAAUCAGCGUCGUUAAACAACUCUCAAGGUCAUUUGGGGGCUUCCUGUUCAAACAUAGGUCGUAUUCGAACCAAAGAGAACAUAGCUGUCGAUACCCUCUUGAUCGGCAUCGCCAAAGCCACUGGGGGCUAUAUGAUCGUAUUCAAAUCUUAGCUUAACCCCUUUGGAACGGUUUACUGAUCGUAUCCGAAUCAAAAGCCUCAAAAAGUUUUAUUCUGUCUCUAGUAAAGUUUAUUGCAGCCACAAUUACUUAACUUGAGACCUUUUUGGGAUUAUAUCUCAAAUAUAUAUAAGUGUUUUAUGCUUAACCCGGCUUGACUUUUGACUAUAAGUCGCCAGUUUAUGACAAUCAUCAUCUAUGUGGAAGCAUUGGCUUCUAAGGAUUGGGUUAUCACCCUUACUGCACAGGUUAUGUAAGCCGGCAGUACAAAUUCAAUAUCACAGUAGUUAUAUGUGAGAUAUUAUGACCCGCCCUGGUUUUGACGCUAAGUCGCCAGGGCAUAUGUUGUUUAAACUCUCUGCAGGAUUUGCAGAAAUAUGACAUGUAAAUGAUUAAGUUCAAGCUCAUUACCAAAGUUGAUGCUUCAAAAUGAUUAUCCGUUCUGGAUUUUUCUCAAAAGGCUAUAAGCCACCGGGUCAUGAAAAUUCCGGUUUACAAUGAAGGCGUAUUGAAUCGCCAUCGGCCAAGAGCCGUCGGGUAUUUAAACUCCGAAUUUACUUGUCAACAGAUAAGGUAUUUGAAUUCUUUAAAUAGCAAACAUGGCUGGAUUUUCAAUGAUGAUAUUGAAUGAUUGAGGUUUUCAUACCGGAUUAUAUUAUUCAAAUUUUGAAUAGCCAACAUGGCUGGAUUUCUAUUAUGAUUAUCAAUAACCAGUAUUAUGAUUGAGGUUUUCAAAGUCGCUUUAGCGCCACAGCUAUUAUCUUUAUCAAUGGGCAUGAUUUAUUUUACAAUGGAGGAAAUAGUCCCGAGUCGCUGCAGGCUUAUGACCCGGCACUUGGGGGCUACAUUAUUCAAGUUGAGGUUACAUCAAAUAUGCAAGUCUCAUGUCGCUGCAAGCAUGCACCAUGACACUUGGGGGCUAAUGCAAAGUCAUUUUUAUUGGCCUUAUUGAAGACCCGACUCAUCCCAUUGUAAUGAGCCGGCCCUUGGGGGCUACCAAUUGCUCCUGUUAAAAUUCAAGAUACACAAGCCUUAUUCCAUUAUAUAUUGAAGGAUCCACUGCUCAGUUGGUAAAGCAUAAAACUCUUAACCUUGUGGACGUGGGUUCAAGCCCCAGGAUGGGGGUUACAUCAUAUGAUAUUAUUUUCAAUGAAAAGUCACAGCUUAGUAUUAUCUUACUAAGCCGGCCCUUGGGGGCUACACGUUACUGCUCAAAUUUACAUCAUCAUAUUUACAAAGUCCCUGCUCAUUAUUACAUAAUGACCCGACACUUGGGGGCUAAUGCAUAUUGCUCUUUGCUUAAGACAAUUCUAGGAUGACCCGGCUACACUACUAUGACUAUAGCCGACUCAUGGGGGCUACACAACUGGAUUUCAUUUAAAACCAUGGUGAUAAGUCUCAGCUUAUUCAUGCUGAUUAAACCAGCCCUUGGGGGCUACAGAUAUUAUGGAUAUAAGGGAGAAAUAUCUUCAAAUUUUCAGUUUGAGUAAAUCAGAUUGACCCGGUGUCUGCAAAAAUCAUAAACCGGCAUCGGCGACAAUUAUGACUCGGCAUCAUCUAUUUAUAACCCGGCAAUUUUGGUAAUCAUAAACCGGCAAGUUUUAUAUCUCAAGUUGGCUGAAUAUAAGUUGAAUAUUUGAAGAUCAAUAUUUUUGUCAAGUCAGAGCAUUGUAGGCCGACUCAAAUGGAAGCUUUAUUUACAAUAUUUCUUCUACAAGCAAAUUGACUAUGAAGUUGGUCCAUUGACCCGGAUUUUCCAGAAGGAGGAGAUGACAAGGACUUAAGGAUGAUCAAGUGCCGGCUUACAAGAAUAUUUAACCCGGAGUGCAACCUGUCAAUUUGUUCUUGUGUUUAUGUUGUAGAUCAGUUUAACAUGGAUAAAUCCAAAUUAAACUUGAGGGCUAAUGUCGGGGAUAUACCCCGCGGUAUAACCCGGCCAGAUAUAUAACCCGGCCGGACUUGGCGACUCACUAAUGACCCGCCCUGAUUGGAUGACUCACUAAGUGACCCGCCCGAGCCGUGGGUGACCUGGCAAGCGAAUCAAAGGAGCGACAAAACCCGGGGGCCCAAGAGGCUCAAGGCCCAGAAGGCCGGCUACAUUAUGGUAGGCCGACUUAAGAGGAAAGGCGUGAGGAAUAUCUCCUUUACGAGGAAGCAAGACCCGAACUUGUAAUCAACUUGUAAGAAAAGAUAGACUAAUCCUAGUCCUACUAAGACUCCACAUGUAACCCGCCCCUCUAACUUAUAUAAGGAGGAGCAGGGCUCCCCAAAAAAGGACAGGGAAGAAGAAACAAUCUCUAGGGCUAGACACAAAAAGCCGGCUUACCCGUGACUCUCUCAUGAGCAUAAUGAGACCUAGCCACAAACAGCAUGUAGGGCUAUUACCGGAUGAUGUUUCCCGGGGCCCGAAGUUGUCUAAAUCCUCGUCUUGUGUGUUGCGUCUCUCGAUUUCGCUCAACCCCUUCAAGCUACCACAUAGAUGCGUUGGCCUCGCGACUAAGUCCUUACACUAGGACAUCUGCCAUGACAAUUCCACGACAGGUAGGACUGUGAAUUACCCAACAUACAGGGGAAGCUACAAUUCAGGAACUAAACCGACCAGGCGGACAUGAGCAAGGAGCAAUCUAAACAGCUUAUUGGAGAAAUCUAAACGACUCACCAGGGUCCCCUGAAUCAUUUAUAUGCAAAUAACAUAUCACAAUAUAGUGACCGUCAUGACCAUCGCCACCUGAGGCAUCCCCUUCCUUCGUCGUGUUGGUUUUUGCCCGCGCGUCUCCCCUCCCCUCCACAACCGCCACCUCGCCGCUGCAUGAC